rnacentral:rRNA from 1 species
UUAUCGGAGAGUUUGAUCCUGGCUCAGGACGAACGCUGGCGGCGUGCCUAAUACAUGCAAGUCGAGCGAACAGAUGGGAGCUUGCUCCCUGAUGUUAGCGGCGGACGGGUGAGUAACACGUGGGUAACCUGCCUGUAAGACUG